rnacentral:tmRNA from 1 species
GGGGGCGAUCGGUUUCGACGAGGAUGUUGAAGCCCUGACUGCAUGUCGCGGUUUUCGGUCAGCGCGUUAGAAAGGCCGAAGGCUACAAUUGCCAACGAUGACAUGGAGCUUGCCCUCGCCGCGUAAAACCGGUUGAGGGUCGUCCGCCCGGUCAGUGCUCACGGGGCCGGUGCGGGCGUAACGCCAGUGAGCUGGUCGAGGGUCGCUGCUCAAUGCCGCCCGAGACGAGACUUGAAUUGAGCUCCCCCGAGCGAGAGCCUGCCUGUGGGCGAGCGCGCGGGGUAAAACAAAUCACGGGACAAGCAUGUAGACGUCAGGUUCGUGGAUCGUUUUCGGACCCGGGUUCGAUUCCCGGCGCCUCCACCC